AUUGAACGCUGGCGGCAGGCCUAACACAUGCAAGUCGAGCGGACGAAGGGAGCUUGCUCCUGGAUUCAGCGGCGGACGGGUGAGUAAUGCCUAGGAAUCUGCCUUGUAGUGGGGGAUAACGUCCGGAAACGGGCGCUAAUACCGCAUACGUCCUGAUGGAGAAAGUGGGGGAUCUUCGGACCUCACGCUAUCAGAUGAGCCUAGGUCGGAUUAGCUAGUUGGUGGGGUAAAGGCCUACCAAGGCGACGAUCCGUAACUGGUCUGAGAGGAUGAUCAGUCACACUGGAACUGAGACACGGUCCAGACUCUUACGGGAGGCAGCAGUGGGGAAUAUUGGACAAUGGGCGAAAGCCUGAUCCAGCCAUGCCGCGUGUGUGAAGAAGGUCUUCGGAUUGUAAAGCACUUUAAGUUGGGAGGAAGGGCAGUAAGUUAAUACCUUGCUGUUUUGACGUUACCAACAGAAUAAGCACCGGCUAACUUCGUG
rnacentral:rRNA from 1 species